rnacentral:rRNA from 1 species
AUUGAACGCUGGCGGCAGGCCUAACACAUGCAAGUCGAGCGAGUGGCGGACGGGUGAGUAAUGUCUGGGAAACUGCCUGAUGGAGGGGGAUAACUACUGGAAACGGUAGCUAAUACCGCAUACCCUCAGAUGUGCCCAGAUGGGAUUAGCUAGUAGGUGGGGUAAUGGCUCACCUAGGCGACGAUCCCUAGCUGGUCUGAGAGGAUGACCAGCCACACUGGAACUGAGACACGGUCCAGACUCCUCCGGGAGGCAGCAGUGGGGAAUAUUGCACAAUGGGCGAAAGCCUGAUGCAGACAUGCCGCGUGUGUGAAGAAGGCCUUCGGGUUGUAAAGGACUUUCAGCGGGGAGGCGUUACUCGAAGAAGAAGCACCGGCUAACUCCGUGCCAGCAGCCGCGGUAAUUC